rnacentral:lncRNA from 1 species
CUCGGUUCUCCCUUUAACACCACAUUCCAAAAAGCUAGAUCUACUACUAAUAUCCCAAAACAAGGCAACCAAAAAAUUGGAAUAUUAUUAUGCUAUCGAAAUAGAAGAUGUUAUGAGGAUCUUAUGACAAAUUCUUAUUCAACAUAGUCGAUGAUGCCUUCUUCAUUCACCGAUAGGGGAAUACCUAAAGACAUAAUUGGGCUUCCACCUCUUAUCACAAGGGUCAGUUCGGC